rnacentral:rRNA from 1 species
GACAGAGGGUGCAAACGUUGUUCGGAAUUACUGGGCAUAAAGCGCACGUAGGUGGUCCGCUAAGUCGCGCGUGAAAUCCCCCGGCUCAACCGGGGAAAUGCGCGUGAUACUGGCGGGCUUGAGAUCGGGAGGGGUGAAUGGAACUCCAGGUGGAGCGGUGAAAUGCGUAGAUAUCUGGAGGAACACCGGUGGCGAAAGCGGUUCACUGGCCCGACACUGACACUGAGGUGCGAAAGCUAGGGUAGCAAACGGG